rnacentral:rRNA from 1 species
UACGUAGGUGGCAAGCGUUGUCCGGAUUUACUGGGCGUAAAGAGCGCGUAGGCGGCUUUUUAAGUCUAUGGUGAAAUCUCCCGGCUUAACUGGGAGGAGUCUGUAGAUACUGAAAGGCUUGAGUACCGCAGAGGAAAGUGGAAUUCCCGGUGGAGUGGUGAAAUGCGUAGAUAUCGGGAGGAACACCAGAGGCGUAGGCGGCUUUCUGGGCGGUUACUGACGCUGAGGCGCGAAAGCGUGGGGAGCGAACCGGAUUAGAUACCCGGGUAGU